AGUGAACGCUGGCGGUAGGCCUAACACAUGCAAGUCGAACGGCAGCACAGUAAGAGCUUGCUCUUACGGGUGGCGAGUGGCGGACGGGUGAGGAAUACAUCGGAAUCUACUUUUUCGUGGGGGAUAACGUAGGGAAACUUACGCUAAUACCGCAUACGACCUACGGGUGAAAGCAGGGGAUCUUCGGACCUUGCGCGAUUGAAUGAGCCGAUGUCGGAUUAGCUAGUUGGCGGGGUAAAGGCCCACCAAGGCGACGAUCCGUAGCUGGUCUGAGAGGAUGAUGAGCCACACGGGAACUGAGGCACGGUCAAGACUCCGAAGGGAGGCAGCAGUGGGGAAUAUUGGACAGUGGGCGCAAGCUUAAUCCCGCAAGCCCGGGUGGGUGAGAAAGGCCUUGGGGUUGUAAAGCCCUUUUUUGGGGAAAGAAAAACAGAGGUUUAAUCCCCGGCUGUUCUGACGAUCCCAAAAAAAUAGCCCCGGGCUAACUUGGUG
rnacentral:rRNA from 1 species